rnacentral:rRNA from 1 species
AACGAACGCUGGCGGCAUGCCUAACACAUGCAAGUCGAACGAGACCUUCGGGUCUAGUGGCGCACGGGUGCGUAACGCGUGGGAAUCUGCCCUUAGGUUCGGAAUAACAGUUAGAAAUGACUGCUAAUACCGGAUAAUGACGUAAGUCCAAAGAUUUAUCGCCUAGGGAUGAGCCCGCGUAGGAUUAGCUAGUUGGUGGGUAAAAGCCUACCAAGGCGACGAUCCUUAGCUGGCUGAGAGGAUGAUCAGCCACACUGGGACUGAGACACGGCCCAGACUCCUACGGGAGGCAGCAGGUGGGGAAUAUUGGACAAUGGGCGAAAGCCUGAUCCAGCAAUGCCGCGUGAGUGAUGAAGG